GAGUAGAAUAAUCGAAAGAGUUUUAAUUCAAUAUUGACAACACGCGGCACAAUAUCCUGUGUUGUAGUCUAACUUUAAUCAAAGUUUUGUGUUAUUCUAUCACCCCAAAUAUGUUCUUCGUAAUUAAUUUUCCAAAAUUAUUUUCUUCAUCUGCAGAACAAUAUGAGGGAGAAUUCUAAUCCUACAAACUUCAACUGGUGGUGCUGGCAAAGUUGGCUGCUAAUAAAUGUCAAUACAAUUACCAGCUCCAUAGCCAAUGAAAACUAUAAGACAUUCUUUGUGAGUGUGGCAAGAGGAGAUCCAUCAUCCAUGGUUGUUAUGACCGUCUACUUUACCCCUUCUUCAUCAUAGCCAUCCUCAAAAGGCAACUCACCCUGUCUUUGUUAGUUUUUUUGUAUAUCGGAGCCAAAGAACUUCUGUUCAUGAGUUGGAGAGAGAGAGACAGAGAGCGAGAGUUUCGUAAAAUACAGGCUGCAAACAAGAGGAUUUGAAGAAAAAUCUAAAUAAAUUGUGCAUGGGGGUUAUACAACGAUGAAGAAGACAAUGGGCCCACACAAUUUUAUAAAUUUUCUCGGAAUUUGAUUGGAGAAUAAAAACAAAACAUUUAAGCACA